UGCCAGCCGCCGCGGUAAUACAGGGGGUGCAAGCGUUGCUCGGAAUAACUGGGCGUAAAGGGUCUGUAGGCGGCCGCUCAAGUUGGAUGUGAAAUCCCCAGGCUCAACCUGGGAACUGCAUCCAAAACUGGGUGGCUCGAGUUCGGGAGAGGGAAGCAGAAUUCCCAGUGUAGAGGUGAAAUUCGUAGAGAUUGGGAGGAAUACCAGAUGCGAAGGCGGCUUCCUGGACCGAUACUGACGCUGAGGGACGAAAGCAUGGGGAGCAAACAGGAUUAGAUA
rnacentral:rRNA from 1 species